AUAAUGAUACUUCCGCCCAGUCACAGCCCCGAAAGGGAUCACGCAAUGAGGGCGGCCGGCAGAGAUCCUGCCCGAGGUGAGAGGCCUAUGG
rnacentral:ncRNA from 1 species